UUUUUUCACAGCCACUUAUGUGGCAACAUUUCACCGAAAAAUCGUUUUUCUUAUUUCCUUGAAUUUCAACUAAAAGUCGGUAAAAUGUCGAGUUCAAACGAAAAACCAGGGAAAACCGUUCCGGAAACUAAAUUAUGCCAAAGGGGGUGGUGAAGUGCGAUCAGGAGUGGGCGGACCCGUUGAAAUGAGCGGGACGUGUUAGCAUCGAGCGCCGCAGAAAAUAACAAUUUAUGGGCCUCCGUUUUUGGGGGCGAAAUCAGGGGAAGAUGGGGCUGCAAUCGGCAGUCAGUUGGCAGCUGUGCAUGGCAAGACGUGGCUCCAGUCCCUGGCUCCUGCUACCGCUGCAAUUCGUUAAGUGCUCCGCACAUACAAACCAACACACAUACUGCCUCACCCACUCUGGCACACACUGGAGGAUACUGGAGGAGUGCAUACAAUAUGCCGCAAUUUAUGCGCACAAUUGGGCUGCCACGCCCACAAUCAAGGCAAGUACUAAGGCGGGGACACGUGCCGCUUGUCAGAGAUCGUCGACGGGCGAUGCACGGCAAACCGCUCGCCGACCGCAGAACUAAUUGAAAUUGCCAGCCAGGCGGUUUGCAUUAGUUUACCUUGCUCCCCGGAUGGGUGCAUGAUGCACUGGGAAAGGGGGUAAGCUUAAAGGAGGAUGAGGUAAAGAGACAGUUGCGUGAUUUCCCCAAGCUGAUGUAAGCACUCGAGCCCAACGAUAGUGGACCAACUCCGCAAAUUGGAAAACGGAAACAAAAACUCUAUCAACUGAAGCAGAUGAUUUACUUUGUUUUUAAAAGCAAUUUAUCUCUAUUUCUGUAUUUUUUUCUCGAAUGGCACUGAAACCAAAAAUGUGACAACAGCAGAACUGCCAACGACUUUACUUCGAAAACAAUAUAAAUACACAUACUUGGCCAAUAAGGAGAUAAAACAAACAGGGACACACACACACUCAAUACGAGUACAGGCGAAAAACAAUAAAAUGGAAACAUCAACUCGAGAAGUCAUCAAUGGAGGACGCAGGAAAGGAAGCCAAGCAAGGAAGAGGAGCUAUCGCCGUUUGCCUUUUAACUUGUCCGGACAAUGACAACAAUGAGUAGCAAUGAACCAAAAUGAAUGAGUCUAUAAAUAAAUGAAUGCAACGUUUCCAUUUCACAUCGAUUGGCAAGACAAUAGUAGGGAAGACAAAAUGGUCAAGAGGAAUUAUUAAAUAAUAUGAAAUGG
rnacentral:sRNA from 1 species